rnacentral:lncRNA from 1 species
ACAGCUUUUAGGGAUAUCGAAUUGGUGGACCUCGUCGCCAAACCGGGGUGUCUGGAGUUCCUUAUUAAGGCAGGCCUAGAUCGGAUACCGGUUGUUGCACCGUUGAUGAUGAUACUUUACAUAUAUAAUGUAAAGUGUUUCACACAUAUCCUCACCAGAUACCGUGACUAAAUGCCAUUUUCACAAGGACCAACCAAGCACCCUCCUGUAACCCGGGAACAUUAUUGUAUCUCUCCUUGAAAUAUCUAAUCCAACCAGCUGAACGAUUAAAACUUAGUAUGUUGAACGUAUUUUUGCGAACGUUGUGUACCAAUCGGCGUUAAACCGGGAAGUGGGGAUGAAAAAACAACCAACUUCAAUGUUUUGCUGUUUGAAGGAAGAAAGUUUAGUUAAUUUGUCAGGACAAUUUGGUAUCAAAUUGAAUGCCGUCUCCUCUGCAAAUUCGAUCAUUUUAAUAUUCUCAAGUGCUACUAAUUUCGUCAAUGAUAUAAUAGUCUGCAUAGUUGUAACAAGCAAACAAACUCGAUCAAUUUACUGCCCUGAAUAGAUACUACUAGCAUUAGUGCAAACAAUAAGGAGUACUAGAUUAGUCAAGUGCAUUUUAAGUGUAAUAAUACUAUCAAAUCGAAAUGCUUAUUCCAGACAACGACUUUUGAUUGAUAAAAGCACGUUGUUAGAUAUUCACUCAACUUUAUUCCCGACUUUUUGAGAGAUAAUUUUUAAAAGCGAUUCCGCUAAAGAUGAAUCUGAAGCCAAAACUGUUUAUAAAGACGUUGGUGCUUUUACUGAGACAGUUCUUUCCGUUCUUAUGCAAAAAUUGUUGAUAAACUUAUCUUCGUAACUUUUUCUUAGCUGGAAGCCUUUGACACUUUUGGCAUUGUUGCUAAUGUGCCAAUUCGUUUUUGGAUCUUUUAUCGAAAAAUACCAAUGAAUUCAAGACGAUUUCUCUGCCUUAAGAGAAACGACGAUGCUUCCAUUAAUUUUAGAAAUUUAAACUUCAGCAAUUGCCAAAUAUUUAAAUGACACAAAAAAUAAUGAAAACUUUUGAAUAUUAUUAACGUUUUUUCGAAGAGCAUAAAAUUGCCUUAAAGCAGCUUUAAAACUGUUGAAACUUUUCAUUUGAAAUGGAUGCAAAUAGCACUGGAAAUAUUACUCAAAUGAAGAGGAACUAAUCAAAUAGAGGCCUACAAAAGAUCGAUUUAAUAUCUCCGAAAAAGGAACGCAUUGAAAGUUGAAAAUCAUAAUUCACAGUUGCAUUUAUGGAAUGACAAUUCAAAGCUUUUCCAUGGAUCCUUAAAGCAAACAAAAAAGUCGGAACGUAAAUCAACUUAUGAACCAAUUGCAUAUGAAACAAGAAAUCUAGUCAAAUUUAUUUGUUAAUUCAUAGAAACCUGAACAUAUUAGCAAAGCAGUAAGCAUUCAUCAGAUGAAUUAAUCUCAUUCGAAUCUAACUGUAAGUAGACGACAAAUAGUUACAUUUAACGGAUAAUUAUAAACUAUAAAAACGAGCGAUUCAAAAAUUCAAACGAAGAUUGUGUAUAAAAGAAACUUUGUAGAAGUAGCGCGUAGGCAGGAGGUAGAUACAUUUUAUGUGAACUGUGUUAGCAUUUACACCUAUAUAAUAAAUAUAUAUAAAAAACUUAAAACAAUGAUCUCAGCAAGUGAUUGAAACAUCCAAAUUGUUGAAUUUUUAAACUAAACUGGAUUAAAUUGAUUAACUAUCCUUAAGGAACUGUGAGAAUACAAAAUGUACUCAUUUAUUAAAACUGAAAAGAUAAAAUGUUAUUAGGAUGUCAAAAUAGCAAAAUAUAAAUCGAUGAAUUAAAAAACACACUAAAAUAAUGAAAAUAAUAAAAGAUAGUCUAGUGAAAUUGAUGAAUACCAAAAAGUGCAUAUAGAGUUCAUGACAACUAUGUAAGUGAGAAAAAUAAGCAAAAGAAAAUUAAGUAAAAAAAAGUAUCCCAAACGAAAAAUUGAUGAUGAAGUAUUUAAACAAGUGAAAUAUGAAAAAAAGAUUUAUUGCGUUUCAAUUUUUUAUAAAAAUAAUAAAGAAACACAUAAAAAUAUAAAUAAA